rnacentral:rRNA from 1 species
UACGUAGGGUGCGAGCGUUGUCCGGAAUUAUUGGGCGUAAAGAGCUCGUAGGCGGCUUGUCGCGUCGGAUGUGAAAGCCCGGGGCUUAACUCCGGGUCUGCAUUCGAUACGGGCAGGCUAGAGUUCGGUAGGGGAGAUCGGAAUUCCUGGUGUAGCGGUGAAAUGCGCAGAUAUCAGGAGGAACACCGGUGGCGAAGGCGGAUCUCUGGGCCGAUACUGACACUGAGAGACGAAAGCUAGGGGAGCAAAUGGG